rnacentral:rRNA from 1 species
UGGGGAAUAUUGCACAAUGGGCGCAAGCCUGAUGCAGCCAUGCCGCGUGUGUGAAGAAGGCCUUCGGGUUGUAAAGCACUUUCAGCGAGGAGGAAGGUGGUGAGCUUAAUACGCUCAUCAAUUGACGUUACUCGCAGAAGAAGCACCGGCUAACUCCGUGCCAGCAGCCGCGGUAAUACGGAGGGUGCAAGCGUUAAUCGGAAUUACUGGGCGUAAAGCGCACGCAGGCGGUUUGUUAAGUCAGAUGUGAAAUCCCCGGGCUCAACCUGGGAACUGCAUUUGAAACUGGCAAGCUAGAGUCUCGUAGAGGGGGGUAGAAUUCCAGGUGUAGCGGUGAAAUGCGUAGAGAUCUGGAGGAAUACCGGUGGCGAAGGCGGCCCCCUGGACGAAGACUGACGCUCAGGUGCGAAAGCGUGGGGCAGCAAACAGGAUUAGAUACCCUGGUAGUCCACGCUGUAAACGAUGUCGAUUUGGAGGUUGUGCCCUUGAGGCGUGGCUUCCGGAGCUAACGCGUUAAAUCGACCGCCUGGGGGAGUACGGCCGCAAGGUUAAAACUCAAAUGAAUUG